GUAACCGCGAAUCAGAAUGUCGCGGUGAAUACGUUCCCGGGCCUUGUACACACCGCCCGUCACACCAUGAGAGUCGAUAACACCCGAAGCCUGUGAGCUAACCUUAGGGAGGCAGCAGUCGAAGGUGGGGUUGAUGAUUAGGGUGAAGUCGUAACAAGGUAGC
rnacentral:rRNA from 1 species